rnacentral:rRNA from 1 species
CUAGUAAUGGCAGGUCAGCACACUGCCGUGAAUACGUUCCCGGGCCCUGUACACACCGCCCGUCACACCAUGAGAGUUGGGAAUACCCGAAGCCUGUGAGCUAACGUAAGAGGCAGCAGUCGAAGGUAGAAUCAAUGAUUGGGGUGAAGUCGUAACAAGGUAGC